UACCGCUAUAAAUAAUCCAUUGUCCAUAUUGACUCUGUGGGUAAUCUAUUGUCCUCACCUUUCUGAACCAGAAGACCCAGAUUCGAACCCCACUUACUACCAUUGUGUCCCUGAGCAAGACACUUAACCCUGAGUGUCCCCAGGGGGGGGGACUGUCCCCGUAACUACUGAUUGUAAGUCGGUCUGGAUAAGGGCGUCUGGUAAACGUGUAAUGUAAUUAAGUGUCCUGCUCAGGGACACGAAGGUAGUAAGUGGGGUUUGAACCCGGGUCUUCUGGUUCGUAGGCGAGUGUGUUACCUGCCAGGCUACUUCCACCCACCCGUACGUCUGACCCUGUGACCUCACAACUGUGGCUGUGACGUGGGACAUGGAGAGUCGGUGGACAAAGCCAGCCAGUGUGAAAAUGAAUGACAUACUGGCGCCACCUUGUGUCACCCACGUGAUACAGCAUCUCGGCCACAGAGUAGAAAGUCUCAGUCUGUGCUCAGUGUCCACGGCCGAUUGUCCUCCAGGGCAACGGUUGUGUAACGCAGGAAGUGUAAAACACUUACUGGCCAUUUUUUUUACAGAAUGCAGGGAACAGGUAAGAAAUUCCCAUUAUUAUUCCAAUAGCAAUCAGGGAGACAGUAUUACUACUAAUAAUUAAAUGUAUUUGUUAAUUCUAUUAUUAUUAUUAUAGGGUUUCAGGGGUAUUUUGACAUUGUGCUUCCCUCUGGUGGGUCUGUCAGACAGAAACCGACGGACUCUGAACGGAACCUCAGAGGAACAGGAAUUCCGGCCUCACAUUCGGCACAUGGAGCCGAACCUGACAGAGUGUGGCCUUGACUGGACGUCCCGUUUGCGGUGGCUUCCUGAACCUCGCUAUGCCGAUGCCCCGCUCCCGCAAAUUAAAGACAUAAAGUUCCUGGAGGGGACAAAGCUGCUGAGGUCCUUCCCACAGGCCAACAUGGAGUCUCAGGCCGAAUGGACCUUCCACCCGAACUGUGGCCAGCUGAGGGUCUUCCACCGACGGGCUCAGCUCCCCAGGACCGAGCAGACGCUGGAGCGAGCUUUAGGCAGGAAGAAGCCAGUCCCAAACAGCCACAAAUCAACAGCAGGCGGCAAACCAUAUGUAACUGCAGAAUACAGCCCCAACUUCCACAAGUUCUGGUCUUUACCACUCAUUCCGUUUGGUACCAGCGGCAAUUACAAAUCGGACACAUUUGGGCCUCCUCGCCACCCUAAAACCAGGCAGAGGUAAAGUCUGGAAUUCCUCGCAUUCCUUCGCAUUUGAUGAAUGAUGGAGAGGACGCAUUUUAUUUCUGCGCCACAGCUCGAAGAAGAACCUGGACCGGGAGGCCGAGCUGAAGGAAGUGGAGAGACUGAAUGACUGGAGGCCGUCUCCGGAUCUCGUACAGUCAGUAACAAGUCGCCAUGUGAAACAUGCAUGAAGCAGAACCUUCACAGGAUCUCGCUGGUCCUGGUCAACUGGAUGUGGCGUCGCAAUAAAUCUGAACGCACGGGAUCUUUACA
rnacentral:lncRNA from 1 species